rnacentral:lncRNA from 1 species
CUGUUAUCUCUUCUCUCACUAUCUUUUUCCAUCCAGGGUAAUAGGAAUAGAAUGGCCUUUUGUUUCACUGAAACUCUGAAUUUAUAACCUGAUUUUUGUGGACCAGUGGGCUCAAAUGAGAGAGGUCAAAGUCCAAGAUUUUUCUUUCUUUUAUUUAUUUAUUUAUUUUCGUUUUUUUUUCUUCGUUUUUUUUUCAAAACACGUGGGCUUCGUCUAGCGAACAUGACAGCUCAUGAACAAACCUUUGCUCCUUCAAGAUUAACAUUUUGACUGACGAAUAGACCCCUGUUGGAAGUAACUCAAGUCUUUCCCUUGUGUUGAC